CCUGCUCCUUGUGUGGCUGCUGUGUCAGCUCUGUGUCGGUAGGUGGCAGAGAGGAGAGAGGCUGCGUGUACACUCAGGGAUCUGAUCUAUGAACGUCUGAAUGAUCAGUGGCCUAGCACU
rnacentral:snoRNA from 1 species